rnacentral:rRNA from 1 species
UCGAGAAUAAUUCACAAUGGACGAAAGUCUGAUGGUGCAACGCCGCGUGGAGGAUGACGGUCUUAGGAUUGUAAACUCCUGUCAUCCGGGAGAAAGACCUGGGAGUUAAUAGCUCACAGGGUUGAUAGUACCGGAAGAGGAAGGGACGGCUAACUUCGUGC